AGUGAACGCUGGCGGUAGGCCUAACACAUGCAAGUCGAACGGCAGCACAGUAAGAGCUUGCUCUUACGGGUGGCGAGUGGCGGACGGGUGAGGAAUACAUCGGAAUCUACUUUUUCGUGGGGGAUAACGUAGGGAAACUUACGCUAAUACCGCAUACGACCUACGGGUGAAAGCAGGGGAUCUUCGGACCUUGCGCGAUUGAAUGAGCCGAUGUAGGAUUAGCUAGUUGGCGGGGUAAAGGCCCACCAAGGCGACGAUCCGUAGCUGGUCUGAGAGGAUGAUCGGCCACACUGGAACUGAGACACGGUCCAGCCUCCUACGGGAGGCAGCAGUUGGGAAUAUUGGGCAAUGGGCGCAAGCCUGAUCCAGCCAUACCGCGUGGGUGCAGAAGGCCUUCCGGUUGUAAAGCCCUUUUGUUGGGAAAGAAAAGCAGCAGGUUAAUACCCCGCUGUUCUGACGGUACCCAAAAAAUAAGCACCGGCUAACUUCGUG
rnacentral:rRNA from 1 species